rnacentral:rRNA from 1 species
UACGUAGGGUGCAAGCGUUGUCCGGAAUUAUUGGGCGUAAAGAGCUCGUAGGCGGUCUGUCGCGUCGAAUGUGAAAACCCGGGGCUCAACCCCGGGCCUGCAUUCGAUACGGGCAGGCUAGAGUUCGGUAGGGGAGUCUGGAAUUCCUGGUGUAGCGGUGAAAUGCGCAGAUAUCAGGAGGAACACCGGUGGCGAAGGCGGGACUCUGGGCCGAUACUGACGCUGAGGAGCGAAAGCGUGGGGAGCAAACAGG